rnacentral:guide_RNA from 1 species
AUAUAAAACAUCAAUAACAGAAAGUGGGAUGAUAAUAAGUUAUAAAAU